UUCUUAUCCAGAGAGAUCGAGGGAUCAGGCCCUAUGACGUCUCGGCAACGGGUUUACACAAAUACCGUGCCAAUUCCUGCAAACGCCUAUGAGCGUUUGGAAGAUGAGAA
rnacentral:ncRNA from 1 species